GGUGAAAGGCUAAUCAAACCGGGAAAUAGCUCGUACUCCCCGAAAUGCAUUUAGGUGCAGCCUCAAGUUUAGUUUUGUAGAGGUAGAGCUACUGAUUGGAUGCGGGGGCUUCACCGCCUACCAAAUCCUGUCAAACUCCGAAUGCUACUAAAUAUACUUGGGAGUGAGGGCAUGGGUGCUAAGGUCCUUGUCCGAAAGGGAAACAACCCAGAUCACCUGCUAAGGCCCCUAAAUGUAUGCUAAGUUGACCAAACGAGGUUCGAUUGCUUUGACAGCUAGGAUGUUGGCUUGGAAGCAGCCAUUCAUUUAAAGAGUGCGUAACAGCUCACUAGUCGAGCGAUUGAGCGUGGAUAAUAAUCGGGCAUUAAGCAUACUGCCGAAGCAGUGAACUCGCUUUUAGCGAGUGGUAGGGGAGCAUUCCAAUGGCGUCGAAGGUUACGUGUGAGUGUAAUUGGAGCGAUUGGAAACGAAAAUGUAGGCAUGAGUAACGAUAAAUGCGGUAAGAAACCGCAUCGCCGGAAGACUAAGGGUUCCUGUAUCUAUGCUAGACAGAGCAGGGUUAGUCGGGACCUAAGGC
rnacentral:rRNA from 1 species